ensembl:snRNA U6 U6 spliceosomal RNA
GUGCUCGCUUCAGCAGCACAUAUACUAAAAUUAGACGAUACAGGAGAGAAUUAGCACGGCCCUGCGCAAGGAUGACACACAAAUUAUAAAGCAUUCCAUAUUUUG